GGCCCCGUGGUCUAAUGGCUAGGACAUCACCCUUUCACGGUGGUAACAGGGGUUCGAAUCCCCUCGGGGUCA
rnacentral:tRNA from 1 species